rnacentral:rRNA from 1 species
AUUGAACGCUGGCGGCAGGCCUAACACAUGCAAGUCGAACGGUAGCACAGAGAGCUUGCUCUCGGGUGACGAGUGGCGGACGGGUGAGUAAUGUCUGGGAAACUGCCCGAUGGAGGGGGAUAACUACUGGAAACGGUAGCUAAUACCGCAUAACGUCGCAAGACCAAAGUGGGGGACCUUCGGGCCUCACACCAUCGGAUGUGCCCAGAUGGGAUUAGCUAGUAGGUGGGGUAAUGGCUCACCUAGGCGACGAUCCCUAGCUGGUCUGAGAGGAUGACCAGCCACACUGGAACUGAGACACGGUCCAGACUCCUACGGGAGGCAGAGGUGGGGAGUAUUGCACAAUGGGCGCAAGCCUGAUGCAGCCAUGCCGCGUGUAUGAAGAAGGCCUUCGGGUUGUAAAGUACUUUCAGCGGGGAGGAAGGCGGUGAAGUUAAUAGCUUCACCGAUUGACGUUACCCGCAGAAGAAGCACCGGCUAACUCCGUGCCAGCAGCCGCCGUAA